ACAGUUGAAUUUGCGUCUCCAGUGAAUCCCUGUUACCAACGUCAUGGCUCCCUCUAAGAUAUUUCUGGCUUUCCUGAUGCUCCUCCUGUCAGUAUUUACGUACGGGGAACCAGUAGCCAGUAGGAGGUACGGACACAGGAGUUACGGACACGGCCGACGGAGCUACGGACACGGUCAUAGGAGAUACGGAUAUGGACACGGUCGUUAGAUGCCUAGAUUCGAAUGGUCUCCAUGAAGUUAAUAUCUAAAUGGACAACAACAAAACACGCAAAAUUGAAAUUACAAAUUAAACAGCUGCAUCUAUAACAUGGAACUAAAAAUUACUUCUUUCGUAAGAAGUUGUAGAUGGUUCUGUGUCUAGUUUCUGAGAGUUCGUCCGUCUUGCACCACAAAAGGAGUAAGAUGUUUGGUGUAAUUGUGUGCGAAUGAAGAAAUGAAUGUGUGUGUGCAUAUAUAU